AUACGAAGGGUGCAAGCGUUAAUCGGAAUUACUGGGCGUAAAGCGUGCGUAGGCGGUUUGUUAAGUCUGCUGUGAAAGCCCCGGGCUCAACCUGGGAAUGGCGAUGGAUACUGGCAAGCUAGAGUGUGUCAGAGGGAUGGUGGAAUUCCCGGUGUAGCGGUGAAAUGCGUAGAGAUCGGGAGGAACACCAGUGGCGAAGGCGGCCAUCUGGGACAACACUGACGCUGAGGCACGAAAGCGUGGGGAGC
rnacentral:rRNA from 1 species